rnacentral:rRNA from 1 species
GGUCCGCCUGCCCUGUGACUAUUAGUUUAACGGCCGCGGUAUUUUGACCGCGCGAAGGUAGCCCAAUCACUUGUCUCUUAAAUGGGGACCUGUAUGAAUGGCAUAACGAGGGCUUAGCUGUCUCCUCCCCUAAGUUAAUGAAAUUGAUCUUUCCGUGCAGAAGCGGGAAUAGACACAUUAGACGAGGAGACCCUAUGAAGCUUUAGACAUAAGGUAGUCCAGACUACAAAAGCCCUCCAAUAAGUGAAUAAACCCAAAGGUUUUCUACCCCGAUGUCUUUGGUUGGGGCGACCGCGGGGAAAGACAAAACCCCCAUGUGGAACGGGAGUACAACUCCUUUAAUCAGAACCGCAGCUCUAAGAAACGAGAUUUUUUUUGACCUAAAGAUCCGGCAAUGCCGAUUAACGGACCGAGUUACUCUAGGGAUAACAGCGCAAUCCCCUUUUAGAGACCAUAUCAACAAGGGGGUUUACGACCUCGAUGUUGGAUCAGGACAUCCUACUGGUGCAGCAGCUAUUAAGGGUUCGUUUGUUCAACGAUUAAA